rnacentral:misc_RNA from 1 species
CUUGAGCAAGACCAGCACUGACGCUAGAGGUAUUUGCUUUGGCCGACACUUUAUGAUGAGUCUUUGGUAAUAAAGCCGUGGAGGCUUUUGAGUUAUACUUCUAUUUAUCUUCCAUAAAGGAAUGAUUUCAUUUCUUAUCAGAAGGUGUUUUUGCUUUCUCUCCUCUCUUUUUCUGAAGUCGUCAACGCAGAUUAACCCAGGGGAGGUCCGGCCGUUGGCCGUCGACCCUCUCCCUACCUCAGUUAGCUUUUCCUUUAGUUUUAUUAAUUUUCCCUCUUGCUUUCCUAGUUUCCUUAGUCUCCAGUUUGGAGUUAUUGGUAACCAUCUUGGAUGGGGUUUUGGUUGUGUCUCUUUUGCUGAUCUGCAUACCGGGUAUCUGAGUAAUGCAGUCGGUUGAGGGGCUUUUUGGUGUAAAUUAA